UUACCUAAGGGUUUAGGGUUUACCCAAGGGUUUAGGGUUUAUCCAAGGGUUUAAGGUUUUCUCAAGGGUUUAGGGUUUAGGAUUAGAGUUUAGGGUUUAGUGUUUUGUUGAUAACAUGUUUAGUGUUUUUCCAAGGGUUUAGGGGUUUACCCAAGGAUUUAGGGUUUACCCAAGAAUUUAGGGUUUAGGAUUUGAGUUUAGGGUUUAGUGUUUUGUUGACAACAUUUUUUUUUUUUGAAUUCGUUUUUUAUAUAUUAUUUUUUAUUUAUUUUUAAAUUUUAUUUUGAAAAAAU
rnacentral:lncRNA from 1 species